ensembl:lncRNA
AUGCAUCUGCAUAAUGAAAGUCAUUUGCAUGCUCAGGGCAGACUUUACCAUGAGAACAGACAUGAAAAGGUGUGCGUGUGUGCGUUUAUGCCCUUCUUCCUUCAUCUUUCCGUUUUCGCUUUCAAACAGACCAAAACAUCCUUGAUGCCAGGGAAAGGAAAGAGUGAAGAAGCAGGGCAGGUUGGUUGUGUGGCUGUCGUCCUGCUGGAGUUGCUGCUCCCCUCCCCUUCGCUGCUCGCUUGCCCCCUUCCUCCCAUCACGAGAUGCAUUUUGCACAAAGCCACCAUCUUAGAGCAUGCGGGCAUUAAAUGGAAGUGGAAAAUAAGCAGGUUUUCAUAGUUAAGUCGAAUGAAGUGACAUCCAUUAAAUGGAGGAUCGGAGCUGAAACGGGCUGAUGGAGUCAAACGGGUCUUUACUAUGCAUGUGCCCCAACAUCAGAUAAAAGACAGCACUUUAAUUGUUCUACAUUACUUCAGUCUUGGCAUUUUUGAUGCAGUUAUAAGGCUGUAUGUUGUGAGUCAAGUGUGUGUGUGUGUGUGUGUGUCUGUGUGGAGAAGAUGAAAGGAAAAAAACGGGUCUGUUUAUACGGGUCAAAGUACUCAACAAAUUGUGUAUUUGUACUAAGGCACUUGUUGGGGAUUCUCCAAGUAAAAAGGAUUUAUUCGGGUAGCUAUAGUGAAUUUAAUGAGGGUUUUCUAGAAAAUGUCAUUUUAAAGGCCAAUCAUUAAGGUACUUUUUGAUAAAAUUUAUUUAAAGAAAUUUAUCACUCUCAGAUCUAGUCUGUCUUGGUACAAUCUUUAGCAUGAUGCACUUUAUAACACACAAACUGAUUUUUUUAGUUCAGUACUUUUCAAUAUUAAAGGAAAAUGUAGUGGCCUGUGUUCGUUCCCUAAUGUACUUAUCUAAUAACUGAUUACUAAUUGAAAUCUAACAUGAAUUAUUAGAAAUGGUGUGUGAGGCUCUGUAGAUUCUGCAUGUAUGAGUGUGAGACCCACGGCAGCGGUGAACGAUACUGCACUCUGAUUGGACAGCUCAGUGUGUUGUGUGUCACACACUUGUUGGACAGAGAGCUGUUGUCUUUAAUUUCUAUGCAAUUGUGUUGGGCUUGUAAUCACCUGGAAGAAAAGGCAGAUCACAGCAGCUAUUUAUGACAGCAGGUUAAACCUGUUUUAAGGUGAAAGGAAUAUUUAGCAGAAUAUAUAUGAAUAUUUCAUUAUUACUAAAACUGGUUUCAACAGCAAACUGUGAAGUCAUUGACUACUAAAAAGCAGCUUCAUCUAGCUUUUUUGUUUUUUCCAUUUUUGUUUCAGCACUCAAAAUAGAAACAAAUUUAAGAGGUAUUAAAUGCUCUGUAAAUGUCUCUCUGUAUUUUGUGUUACAAUCAGUCAUGGCUGAAGAGAAAAUUCAGUUCAAUAUGCAAAUGUUUUACAAAUUUAUUACAAUUUGAAGAGAAUUGUGCAAUCUAUUUUAUAAUUAUUUUUCUUAAAAUAAUUUUUAAUCACAGCAUUAUCCUUUCAGUAAAACUGAGAUAAUGUUUUGUUUUGUUUUUUCUUGCAAAAUUUGACAAAUCAAGUGAAUGUGAAGACAAUGGAUUGAUGAAAUGGGGCCUUUUACUAUGCAAUUGUAGUUUUUUCUGUGAUUUUCAGCUAGUCAUAGUCCUGUAAUGAUAACGAUAAUAACUAAAAUCAUAUUUUCUUUUAACUUUAUUCAUCAUCUAACUGUAGGUUUUUCAUUCCAUGUUCAAUGUGUAUUUUUAUUUCCUCAUUUUUUCUAUUUCCGCAUGUGCCUUUUAACAAUGUCCUGGUAUGAAUAUUAAUAAAAGUUUACUUUGAAAACA